AAGUCGUAACAAGGUUUCCGUAGGUGAACCUGCGGAAGGAUCAUUACCGAGUUAGGGUACUCUUCGUGCCCGACCUCCAACCCUUUGUCUACCUGACCAGAUGUUGCUUCGGCAGGCCCGCUGCCCCGCGAGGGGUGGCCGCCGGGGGUCCUUAUCGGCCCCGGGUCCGCGCCUGUCGAUGGCCCUCUAUAAACUCUUGCUUAACCGUGUCGUCUGAGUAAAACAAACAAAUAAAAACAAAACUUUCAACAACGGAUCUCUUGGUUCUG
rnacentral:misc_RNA from 1 species